rnacentral:misc_RNA from 1 species
UUUCCGUAGGUGAACCUGCGGAAGGAUCAUUAUUGCAUAACCGCGGUGCGAGGGCUGUCGCUGACCCGAAAGGUCGUGCACGCCCGAGUGCCCUCACACACAUCCAUCUCACCCCUAUGUGCACCACCGCGUGGGUCCCCCUUUGGCUUGUUCGGAGGGGGGCUUACGUUUUCACACAAACUUUGUAUGCAGUGUAGAAUGUAUUUUUUGUUUUUGCGAUCACGCAAUCAAUACAACUUUCAACAACGGAUCUCUUGGCUCUC